GACCACACGAAGCUGGAAUCGCUAGUAAUCGCGCAUCAGCCACGGCGCGGUGAAUACGUUCCCGGGCCUUGUACACCCGCCCGUCAAGCCAUGGAAGCCGGGAGUGCCUGAAGUGCGUGACCGCAAGGAGCGCCCUAAGGCAAUACCGGUGACUGGGGCUAAGUCGUAACAAGGUAGC
rnacentral:rRNA from 1 species